rnacentral:rRNA from 1 species
UACGGGAGGCAGCAGUGCGGAAUUUUAGAUAAUGGAGGCAACUCUGAUCUAGCGACGCCGCGUGCAGGAAGAAGGUCUUCGGAUUGUAAACUGCUGUGGUAAGGGAAAAAUGCCAUGUAGAGUGGAAAGUUACAUGGAGGGAUGGUACCUUACUAGAAAGCCCCGGCUAACUACGUGCCAGCAGCCGCGGUAA